rnacentral:rRNA from 1 species
UACGUAGGUGGCAAGCGUUGUCCGGAAUUAUUGGGCGUAAAGCGCGCGCAGGCGGUCCUUUAAGUCUGAUGUGAAAGCCCACGGCUCAACCGUGGAGGGUCAUUAGAAACUGGGGGACUUGAGUACAGAAGAGGAAAGCGGAAUUCCACGUGUAGCGGUGAAAUGCGUAGAUAUCUGGAGGAAUACCGGUGGCGAAGGCGGCAUCCUGGACCGACAUUGACGCUGAACGGCGAAAGCUAGGGGAGCAAACGGG